CAGAUUUACAACUUGUGCUGUUCACUUUCUGAACUAAAACACAGUGAUGCAUUCACAGCAGCAUGCAUAACAACCCAACUUAAAGUCCAGUGGGUCAUUUUAGGCUUGGCCUCCAGAAGAAUUGAGUUAUUGAAGCCUGACACCCUCUCUGCAAGAUCUUCUGCGAUGAGCAGACCACGGUGACAUGUGUUCCUGCAAAAAGCCUGGCUCAGUGCCAUGCGGUUUUAUAGGUGAUAAGCAGCAUCUUGAAUUGCAACUAGAAGCCUAGUUUUUUGUGCCCCCCCUCCCUAUUUUAGGUUACCAUUUUAAAGUUUAUGCUGCCUG